AGAGUUUGAUCCUGGCUCAGAACGAACGCUGGCGGCGUGCUUAACACAUGCAAGUCGUACGAGAAAUUUGGACUUCGGUCUAAAGAGUAGAGUGGCGCACGGGUGAGUAUCGCGUAGGUGAUCUACUCUUGGGUCUGGGAUAACUCGCCGAAAGGNGGGCUAAUACCANAUAACAUCUUUCANAGGGAUCUGAUAGAUCAAAGGUGGCCUCUCCAUGGAUGCUACUGCCUGA
rnacentral:rRNA from 1 species